rnacentral:rRNA from 1 species
AGCGAACGCUGGCGGCAGGCUUAACACAUGCAAGUCGAACGGGCAUCUUCGGAUGUCAGCGGCAGACGGGUGAGUAACACGUGGGAACGUACCCUUCGGUUCGGAACAACUCUGGGAAACUGGAGCUAAUACCGGAUACGCCCUUAUGGGGAAAGGUUUACUGCCGAAGGAUCGGCCCGCGUCUGAUUAGCUAGUUGGUGGGGUAACGGCCUACCAAGGCGACGAUCAGUAGCUGGUCUGAGAGGAUGAUCAGCCACACUGGGACUGAGACACGGCCCAGACUCCUACGGGAGGCAGCAGUGGGGAAUAUUGGACAAUGGGCGCAAGCCUGAUCCAGCCAUGCCGCGUGAGUGAUGAAGGCCUUAGGGUUGUAAAGCUCUUUUGUCCGGGACGAUAAUGACGGUACCGGGAGAAUAAGCCCCGGCUAACUUCGUG